rnacentral:tRNA from 1 species
GGGCAUGUAGCGUAGGGGUUAUCGCGUUCGCUUUGCAUCGGUGGAUCUAAUUCCAAGAUUUGUUCUCGGGAUGAGAACAAAGGAAUUACAUAAAUCCCCAGUGGUUGCUUUGCGAAAGGUCUCCGGUUCAAAUCCGGACUUGUCCA